rnacentral:rRNA from 1 species
CAAGUCGAGGGGUAACGGAAGUAGCUUGCUACUAGACGACGACCGGCGCACGGGUGAGUAACGCGUAUGUAAUCUGCCUUGUACAGAGGGAUAGCCCAGAGAAAUUUGGAUUAAUACCUCAUAGUAUUACCGAAUCGCAUGAUUUGGUAAUUAAAGCUCCGGCGGUACAAGAUGAACAUGCGUGACAUUAGCUAGUUGGUAAGGUAACGGCUUACCAAGGCCACGAUGUCUAGGGGUUCUGAGAGGAUGAUCCCCCACACUGGUACUGAGACACGGACCAGACUCCUACGGGAGGCAGCAGUGAGGAAUAUUGGUCAAUGGACGCAAGUCUGAACCAGCCAUCCCGCGUGAAGGAUGACUGCCCUAUGGGUUGUAAACUUCUUUUAUAUGCAAAUAA